CCUACGGGAGGCAGCAGUGGGGGAUAUUGCACAAUGGAGGGAACUCUGAUGCAGCAACGCCGCGUGUGGGAAGAAGGUUUUCGGAUUGUAAACCACUGUUCUUGGUGAAGAUAAUGACGGUAGCCAAGGAGAAAGCUCCGGCUAACUACGUGCCAGCAGCCGCGGUAAUACGUAGGGAGCAAGCGUUGUCCGGAUUUACUGGGUGUAAAGGGUGCGUAGGCGGCUAGGCAAGUCAGGCGUGAAAACCACAGGCUCAACCUGUGGACUGCGUUUGAAACUGUUUAGCUUGAGUGAAGUAGAGGUAGGCGGAAUUCCCGGUGUAGCGGUGAAAUGCGUAGAGAUCGGGAGGAACACCAGUGGCGAAGGCGGCCUACUGGGCUUUAACUGACGCUGAGGCACGAAAGCAUGGGUAGCAAACAGGAUUAGAUACCCCGGUAG
rnacentral:rRNA from 1 species